UAUUAAUUUAUUACUACUCAUUAUUCAUAAUAAUAAGUGAAAACAUUUAUUUCCAGUGUCCCUGGCAGGGAGUAAGGGAGCGUGUUUAGAUCGUUCUCCGUUUUUAUUUUCCCAGAAAUGAUAUAAUGAGCUUCAACCUAGAAGAGUCCUUUCCUAAGCAUGGAAGUUACUUCCCAGGAGGGACUUGGGUGCUGAAGUGCUUGGAUCUGCCUCAUUAAUCUAUGUGGUAGAGAAGUUUCUCAUUUUCCUGACUUUGCUUGGAGCCCAGGCUCAGAUACAAACUGGAGGAUAAAAGGAGGCUACUUAAAAUAACAGCAGCUAUUUUUAUAAAAGUGAUAAAAUAUCUUGAGCAAGAGAGGUGGCUCUUAAAACCAGCCGCUAUGGUCGCUCCUCUUGAUGAAGAAGGUUUAUUCUCAUGACACAUUUCAUAGCUUUAUAAUCUGGGCUAUUAGAAAACAGAAAGCCCAAGGAGCAUUUAUGACAUCUUAUAAGGCUGAGGUUAUUUUAAAACCUCAUGAAACCAUGGACAAAUAUUCUUCAAAAUCUGAAAGUAUGAUUCUGGGAGUCUGGGUAUGGAGAGAAACACUUCUCCGGUAUUAA
ensembl:lncRNA